AGGCCAGGCACUACUCUGUCCCAACAAUAAGCCCUGUACAUUGGGAAAGGUGCCGAGACAUGAACUUUGGUCUUCUCUGCAAUCCAUCUGGAGCAUUCACUGACAACAUCGACUUUGAAGUUGCACUGACCUGGCCAGCCCUGCCACUUACCAGGUUGGCUCUGUAUGGCUAAGCGUUUUCUCCUAAAAUCCCUUGAAAACUGUGAGAAGACCAUAAGAAGAUCAUAUCUUUAAUUCUAUUUCACAAGUCACACAAUAUUCCAAUCAAAUACAGAUGGUUGAGAAAAGUCAUCCAUCUUCCCUCCCCACCCUCCCACAGCCCCUCAACCACUGCCCUGAAACUUAUAUGCUGUUAUCCGCAGCUCCAUCUGGAGCAUCACAGCUACUGUCAACCCUGACGCUCUUUCUGAAAAAACACCGGAUGGACAUCAGAACUAUUUCUUUAAGGAUGUUACUGAGCCACACAGGAAAACUUGCCUUAUGAUUUUGAAUGCACGGAUCUGAUUUGACUAAACAUGAUAACUAGAGAAUCACCCAAUCUACUCCCAUUUUCAACUCUAAAUCAUCAGAGUGUCUCAAAUCCAAAGCACACACAGACCAGCCUGGCCAACACGGUGAAACUCCACCCCUACUAAAAGUAUAAAAAUUAUCCAGGUGUGGUGGCGGGCGCCUGUAAUCCAAGCUACUUGGGAGUCUGGAGGCAGGAGAAUCCCUUGAACCUGGGAGAUGGAGGUUGCAGUGAGCAGAGAUCACACCACCGCACUCUAGCCUGGGCCACAAAUCAACAACAACAACAACAACAAAAAACAAAGCGCACACAGAGACUGAGGUCCUCUUUGGCAUUGAGAAGAUGGCUAUGCAAGUCCCAACUAGCAAGUGCAAACUUCCCAGCUUCACUUCUGCCAGUGUCCCUUCACCCCUUCUCAACCCCACUGGGAGGCAGGAGGGUGCUUGACAAUAACAGCCUUGGCAUCACUCUGCCAGGGUGUAAUAGGAACUGUUACAAUUCUGAGAUUCUGUAAGUGCUUUGAGAUUUUGGAGUCAGACUGCUUGAACUUGAAUCCUGGCCCUCUCAUCAGAGACUUGACUUAUUUUAGGCUGUGGCUUGCCUUUUCACUUCUUGUGUCCUGUUUAAGAAAUAUCUGCUAUCCCAAGCAUCUGGCAUCUUUCUUGACAUAUGUAGCAGUUGCUUUUUGACAGCUUGCUUCUUCAGUGAAUGAAUAAAUUAAUAAAGAGAAAUGUGAUGUUCAGUGAUCCAUUUUGCAGAUAACACUAACAAAGUUGACCUUAGAAUUGGAGUGCCUGGGUUAGAACCCUGCUGGUACCACCUGCUUACUGCAUGCUUCUGAUGUGAGUUCAGGAGAAGACACUGGCAAGGACAGCAAAGAACAGGAGAACACUCUAGCUUCCCUGAUAGCAUUCAAGGUGCUGUCCAAACUGACUGUGAUGGCACCCUCCAGACAGACAGCGAUGCCACAUGUUCAAGAUGGCAGAAUCACUAUCAGCUUCAAUUCCUGAAUGACUGCAGAGCAAAAUUUCUUACCUGCAACAUACACUCUAUUUUCAGCCUCCCUGGACUGUUACAUAAUGAUACAUAAAAA
ensembl:lncRNA CASC19 cancer susceptibility 19